rnacentral:hammerhead_ribozyme from 1 species
AUCCAGCUGACGAGUCACAAAUAGGACGAAACACGCGUCAAACUGGAU